GAUGAACGCUGGCGGCGUGCCUAAUACAUGCAAGUCGAGCGAACAGACGAGGAUCUUGCUCCUCUGACGUUAGCGGCUGACGGGUGAGUAACACGUGGAUAACCUACCUAUAAGACUGGUAUAACUUCGGGAAACCGGAGCUAAUACCGGAUAAUAUAUUGAACCGCAUGGUUCAUUAGUGAAAGACGGUUUUGCUGCCACUUAUAGAUUGAUCCGGGCCGCAUUAGCUAGUUGGGAAGGUAACGGCUUACCAAGGCAACGAUGCGUAUCCGACCUGAUAGGGUGAUCGGCCAAACUGGAACUGAGACACGGUCCAGAGUCCUACGGGAGGCAGCAGUAGGGAAUAUUCCGCAAUGGGCGAAAGCCUGACGGAGCAACGCCGCGUGAGUGAUGAAGGUCUUCGGAUCGUAAAACUCUGUUAUUAGGGAAGAACAAAUGUGUAAGUAACUAUGCACGUCUUGACGGUACCUAAUCAGAAAGCCACGGCUAACUACGUG
rnacentral:rRNA from 1 species